rnacentral:lncRNA from 1 species
GCACCGGCCAGCUAGCCCCUUUGUGCGGCGGGGGCUGCGGAGUGCUCCCUCCAAGACCGGUUGCACCCCGCUUUCCUGGCCAGGACUCUGGGCGCGGUUGGAGGCAUCUGUCCACCCAUGUGGUUCCAGACACGUUCAUGUGGCCACCAUGACCCCGUCGGCAUCACAGGGGUAACCAAGGUGAUCCUCCCUCUCUUCCUGUGUCCACUGGGGAUGGUAGAGACCAGCUUAAUGCUUUGAGAUCAGAUCCAUCACGAAAUCCGUAUGUCCUGAGACCUCCUGAAUCUUAAGAGAGCAGCAAGUUCCUGGGACAGAGGAGACAGAAGGGAAUUUCCAGGUUCUUCAGGACGUUCACAACCACACUGAGAAGCAUCUUUGCAGAUAAGUAUUUAAACUUACCAGCCCAUAGCCUACCAGCCUGCCCUCUUCUGGUCUGUGCAGGAAAGUGUAGUAUCCUAGAAUGCCAAAGUGGGAGGGGAAAUGGGUGAUGUAGCUCAUUCUCUUUUCUACCUCUAUGGAAGAAAGAAAGAGCCUGUCCCCAUUUUGUGGGGUCCCAGAAAGGGUGAUUUUCACACU